rnacentral:rRNA from 1 species
GAUGAACGCUGGCGGCGUGCUUAACACAUGCAAGUCGAACGGAAAGGCCUCAGCUUGCUGGGGUACUCGAGUGGCGAACGGGUGAGUAACACGUGGGUGAUCUGCCCUGCACUUUGGGAUAAGCCCGGGAAACUGGGUCUAAUACCGAAUAUGACCACUUCUUGGAUGUUGUGGUGGAAAGCUUUUGCGGUGUGGGAUGAGCCUGCGGCCUAUCAGCUUGUUGGUGGGGUAAUGGCCUACCAAGGCGGCGACGGGUAUCCGGCCUGAGAGGGUGUACGGACACAUUGGGACUGAGAUACGGCCCAGACUCCUACGGGAGGCAACAGUGGGGAAUAUUGCACAAUGGGCGCAAGCCUGAUGCAGCGACGCCGCGUGGGGGAUGAAGGCCUUCGGGUUGUAAACUCCUUUCGCUAUCGACGAAGCCACUUGUGGUGACGGUAGGUAGAUAAGAAGCACCGGCUAACUACGUGCCAGCCGCCGCCGUAA